GGCAAGCCUCCAUACUGAAUUGGGCUGUCCAUCACCAAAAUGGUUGAAGACAUUUUUUAUUUGGUUUGCCAACACCUAUACUAUUUGUAAUUCUCAUGCUCCACCAGUGUGGGAUUUCAUUUCCACCUACAAUAUUUCAACAAGAUGUGACCCCUAAAACCUUAAGCUUGAAUGAAUAGAAGGCAAGAUGUUGACAAAACAAAGAUAAUUUGUUCCAUCCAUCAUUAGAAGGCUAAUUUGAAGAGAGUAAUUGUCAUCCUACCCUGAUGUCCCAUUCUAAUUUUACAAAUAUGAAAACCUAAGUUUUUUUUUUUCUUUU
rnacentral:misc_RNA from 1 species